UUUUUGCUUCUUUUUUACUUUUUU
rnacentral:sRNA from 1 species